rnacentral:lncRNA from 13 species
GCUACCUUAUACAUGCACAGCUAUCUCUAUGCCCUUUACACUAAGCGUAAUUUGGAGGAAAAAGCAUCCUGGACAGAUGUCUGCUCCAUGGUUUAUAAGAGUAUGUGAUACCAUCCGCACUUUUCACAGCUAAACCCUUGAAAACUGGGAGACAGACAAAGGAACCCAAACGUGAAGAGCAUUCAUUAAAAGAUGUAAAUAGCCAAGAUCCGUGCUGUUUUGUUUCAAUCUUCUUUACACUGCUGAAAAAAGGAAAGCCUCCUGUCACGCAGACUCCGGGAUUCUCAGAGCGCAAUAAAGGUAUAGGGAGGGCACUUCUCAAAUGAGGAUAACAUGGCCUGCCACAGGAAAGACUGAGAAGAAGGCAAGAGUGGGCUUUCUGCUUAUGCUGUCUUCUCAAAUGCCAACAUGUCAUAUCGGGGACAGCAGGUCCUCAGCCCCAUCAAGGUUAUUCUCAUGAAGAUGGCCCUAGAACCACACUCUAACACAGGCUAAGAAGUCAGAAGUUCUUGCCUAGAACUACUCAACAAUAACGCCACCUUGCUUUGUAUGGCUUGUUGCAUGUUGCAAAUUUGCCAACCAUACAUCUGAUAAGGGGUUAAUAUCCAAAGUACAUAAUGAAUUCAAAUAGCUCAGUAGCAAGGAAACAAACAACUCGAUCAAAAAAUGGGUAAAGGAUCUGAUUAGACACUUCUCAAAAGAAGACAUACAAAUGGCCAACAGGUCUAUGAAAAAAAUGCUCAACAUCACUAAUCAUCAGGGAAAUGCAAAUCUAAACCACAAUGAGAUAUCACCUCAGACCUGUUAGAAUAGCUAUUAUCCAAAAGAUGAAAGAUAACAAUUGUUGUCAAGGAUAUGAAGAAAAGGGGGCCCUUGUUCACUGUUGGUAGGAAUGAAAAUCAGUACAGCCAUUAUAGAAAACAGUUUGGAGGGCCCUCAAAAAGUUAAAAAUAGAACCACCCAAAUCCAGCAAUCCCACUUCUGGGUAUUUAUCCAAAGGAAAUGAAAUCAAUGUGUCAAAGAGAUAUUGGCACUCCCAGGUUCACUGCAACCUUAUUCACAAUAGCCAGGAUAUGGAAUCAAUCAAUCUAGUCCAUCAAAGGAUGAAUGGAUAAAGAAAAUGUGGCAUUUACGUACAUAGGAAUACUAUUCAGCCUUAAAAGGAAAAAAAAAAUUUGCCAUUUGUAACAUCAUGAAUGAAGCUGGAGGACAUGAUGAUAAGUGAUAUAAGCUAUAUGUAGCAAGACAAAUUCUGUAUGAUCUCACUUAUAUGUGGAAUCUAAAAAUGUCAGUCUCACAGAAGCAGACAGCAGAAUGGUGGUUGCAAGAGGCUGGGAUAGUAGGGGUGGGGGAGAGAUGUUUGUUAAAGGGUACAACGUUUUAGUUAAAUCAGAUGAAUAGAGAGAGAUCCAAGAUGGCUGAUCCCUAACAGCUC